AGCGAACGUUUGCGGCGGGCCUAACACAUGCAAGUCGAACGGGCAGGGGCAACCCUGUCAGUGGCGCACGGGUGCGUAACACGUGGGUAAUCAACCCUUUGGACUGGGACAACCCGGGGAAACUCGGGCUAAUACCGGAUGUGGCGUGGCGGUCCUCGGACUGCUCCGCGAAAGCUCCGCAAGGGGCACCAGAGGACGAGCCCGCGUCCCAUCAGCUAGUUGGUGAGGUAAUGGCUCACCAAGGCGAAGACGGGUAGCUGGUCUGAGAGGAUGAUCAGCCACACUGGAACUGAGACACGGUCCAGACUCCUACGGGAGGCAGCAGUGGGGAAUAUUGCGCAAUGGGCGAAAGCCUGACGCAGCCACGCCGCGUGUGCGAUGAAGGUCUUCGGAUCGUAAAGCUCUGUGGGGGGAGAAGAAGAAAGCCGGUGAAGAGCCGGCCCUGACGGUAUCCCCUUAGCAAGCACCGGCUAACUCCGUGCCAGCAGCCGCGGUAAAGUGUG
rnacentral:rRNA from 1 species